AAAUGUCACAAAAUUCACUUCUUUGCUCGUACUCACAGAGGCCCUGGUCUAGAAUGUUCCACAUCUGCUCUCACUCUGCCAUGGGCUCCUGGAGCCUCUGCUGUGUGUCCCUUUGUAUCCUAGUAGCAAAGCACACCGAUGCUGGAGUUAUCCAGUCACCCCAGCACAAGGUGACAGAGAUGGGACAAGAAGCGACUCUGAGAUGUGAACCAAUUUCAGGUCACACCCAGCUUUUCUGGUACAGACAGACCAUGAUGCAGGGACUGGAGUUGCUAAUUUACUUUAACAACAAGGAUCCGAUAGAUGAUUCAGGGAUGCCCAAGGAUCGAUUCUCAGCUCAGAUGCCUAAUGCAUCAUUCUCCACUCUGAAGAUCCAGCCCUCAGAACCCAGGGACUCGGCUGUGUACUUCUGUGCCAGCAGUUUUGGGGACUCUAAACUCCUGCCUCCCAACCCAGGAAUCAGAGCCUGAGACAGACAGAUGCUU